CGUGGUGGGCAGUUCUAGGAGCUUGGUUGAGAGCGAGAAAUGGUGAUCGACAAGUUAGAGCGAAAAGAACAUGGAUAAACACAGACAGCUUACUCUAACACAGAGUUUUGCUACCACCAAAAAGAAAGGGAUGACGCUACGACAAUGAACGGCAUGUAGUGCUGGUCGCGUCGAGCGUGUGAGAUCGCAACCAUAUCACGGUCCACUUCCCCUGAAACAUGGACUGCCAACGGACAUUCGGAAUCGGAUUACAAUGAGCCUGAUCCUGAUUCAUCCUUAUCUGGGAGCAGCAGCGCGUCCUCCCCUGAGCCCCCAGAAAGUCACGGAAGAGAAACUGCAGUUGGCGCAACCAGCAGCAGAUGCAGACCCACACUCGUUAGCAAGAGGAGGUGCAUCAAGCAAUGGUGGGCCUGUUCAUGGCUGGUCGUCUGCUGACUGGGAACCCACAAAAGUCCCGCAUGCACACACCCACAUAAGCACACACACAUGCGCACGCGCACACACACACACACACACACACACACACACACACACACACAUACAUACACAGCUUUACAUAUUUCAGAAUCAGAAUCAUCUUUAUUUGCCAAGUAUGUAAAAAACACAAGGAAUUUGUCUCCGCUUCUCGUAUGACAACAGA